GUGGCCCACCCCCAAGCUGUGAGUCUGCAGGGUUCUGCACCCUGCUUUGGCUGCUACAGCCUUUCUUUGCACUGCCCUAGGGGAUUUCAGUGACCUAAUGACCUCUACUUCAACCUCUGAACUUCUCUUCAACCCUUGCUCCAAACGCAACAACCUGCACCCUGAAACUAGGAGUGGUCCCUACCCAGGCUGUCUGCACCAUGCCCCAUCAGCCUUGCUCUUGACCAGCCCUCUGUGCUCCUCCCUCCCUCCCAGGCACCCAGCCCAGAGCCAUGAAGUUCACACCUGGUGCUGGACCUGCUCACCCAGCAUUCUUCACUCCUGCUGCUGCCGUUGUUAACAACAGCAAUAAUAAAAAGGGCUACUCUCCUACCCCUUACCUCACUGUGUGCCAGGCCCUGGGCUGAGUGCUUUACAUAUGUUAACUCAUUUAAUCCUCACAACGACCCUACGAAAGGGGUACCAUUAUGACCCAAUUAACAACUGGUCUGCAGGACUGGGAGGGAGGAAGGACCAGAGGUGACAAUGCAAGGGAAAUCUCUGACCCUGACUCCCAGAGAUGGAUGCUCUCUACGCCCAUGACCCACAGCUGAUUGGGUGUCUGGGACCCGGGACCCCAUUUAAAGUGAGAUUUCACACCAGCAUAUCUCUGCCCAGUGUGCCAAGAUCUGCCACCUGCUGUCACAGUGUGAUACUGUGCAAUAGAUAAUUAAUAUAGUCCCAGAGAUGUUGUAACAAUAUGACUAUAAUCAUCCUGUGUGUGCCCAGGCUUAAUGGUUUGAGGCUGUGUGAGGUGGGGCAGGGGACACAAGCCUAAAAUGCCAGACCUCCAGAGGCCAGUUUGGUUUGGCAGACAUUGUUUAUUAAAAGAUUCUCCCGUGCCAAGUCUAAGGCCUAAAAUGAGUAAGACAGCUGCAUACCCUCCGGUGGCUGGGGAUGGCCCACAAAGUGUGGUGGAUACAAAUAGACUUUCAUAUCAUUCUUUCAUGUAUUUAUACAACAAAUAUUUAUUUUGAACCUACUAUGUGCAGAGUACUGGGAUAGGUCUUGGAGUCACAGAAUAAUAAAGCAAAGACCCCACCCCAAGAACCCCCUUCCAUUGUCUCCAGUACAAUUGUGAGUGGUCUAAAGAGGUGUUGCAGAAGCGUGAGUGGGGGUGGAGGGAAG
rnacentral:lncRNA from 1 species